rnacentral:rRNA from 1 species
UACGUAGGGUGCAAGCGUUAAUCGGAAUUACUGGGCGUAAAGCGUGCGUAGGCGGUUGCGCAAGACAGGUGUGAAAUCCCCGGGCUUAACCUGGGAAUUGCACUUGUGACUGUGCGGCUGGAGUGCGGCAGAGGGGGAUGGAAUUCCGCGUGUAGCAGUGAAAUGCGUAGAUAUGCGGAGGAACACCGAUGGCGAAGGCAGUCCCCUGGGCCUGCACUGACGCUCAUGCACGAAAGCGUGGGGAUCAAACAGG